CAUGCUCUUGCCACGGGGGCCCAGCAGGAAGGAGCCCACAUUGGGACAAGGAGAGAAGGGUCAGUGAAAGGAAAACUGCCUCCCAGACAGUGGGUUUGGAACUGCAUGCCUCUCUGCAGGAUGACUUGCAGAACCCAGGGGCUGGGAGCCAGGAUCCUGGGAAUUUGGGACUCACCUUGGGGUGACAUCUGUCCCCACAAAACCCCAGCCACCUGACCCCUUCCUGUCCAAGAGCAUUGGUGAUGUUCCUAACUACAUACAAAAGCCUCCUGAAAUUCACUCAGCUUGGCAGUCCUGCCAGGACACCAUUUCCGGAUGGGCACUCACACCCCAGUUCCCUUGGAAUGGUAUGGCGUUCACUACCUGGAGGAACCGACUGUCCCGAGGGCUGCGAGACAACUUUAAAAUGAGGGUGGCAUUAUCUUCAUGCUGCUGCAUUAGAUCUGCAAUUGUCACAAGAUUCCACUUCACAUCCAACCCAAACCCCCCACCCCUUGCGCUUCUACCCUGACUGUCCCCACCUCGGACUAAUCGCAGCUGACUUUGGGGAAUAAAAACUGAAUGAGAUCCAUUUUUCACAGAACAGCCUCUCAGCUAUUUGAAGGUAACUCCCAAAUUCCUCCCAUAACUGCUCUUUUCUAGGCCAAACACCCCACAUUCUUCAGCCACUUCCCGUACAGUCUGACUCUAUCAC
rnacentral:lncRNA from 1 species